rnacentral:rRNA from 1 species
UUAGUUGGCGGGGUAAAGGCCCACCAAGACUGUGAUCGAUAGCCGGCCUGAGAGGGCACACGGCCACACUGGCACUGAAACACGGGCCAGACUCCUACGGGAGGCAGCAGUGGGGAAUCUUGCACAAUGGGGGAAACCCUGAUGCAGCGACGCCGCGUGAGCGAUGAAGCCCCUCGGGGUGUAAAGCUCUUUCGGCAGGGAAGAUUAUGACGGUACCUGCAAAAGCAGCUGCGGCUAACUACGUGCCAGCAGCCGCGGUAAUACGUAGGCAGCAAGCGUUGUUCGGAGUUACUGGGCGUAAAGGGUGCGUAGGCGGCUUUUUAAGUUUGGUGUGAAAUCUCCCGGCUCAACUGGGAGGGUGCGCCGAAUACUGAGAGGCUAGAGUGUGGGAGAGGAAAGUGGAAUUCCUGGUGUAGCGGUGAAAUGCGUAGAUAUCAGGAGGAACACCGGUGGUGUAAACGGCUUUCUGGACCAUAACUGACGCUGAGGCACGAAAGCGUGGGUAGCAAACAGGAUUAGAUACCCUGGUAGUCCACGCCCUAAACGAUGCAUAUUUGGUGUGGGCCAUUCAUUUGGUCUGUGCCGGAGCUAACGCGUUAAAUAUGCCGCCUGGGGAGUACAGUCGCAAGGCUGAAACUCAAAGGAAUUGACG